UUAUUUUCCAAGGUACACUCAAUUGUUGUUUGAAGGUGGAUUAUCACCAGACAUCCUUUGAAUGGUACGCCCACUAUCAGCAGCCUUACAGUGUGCUUCAUAAAUACAUCAACCCCUGAAAUAACAUUAUCGUUGGAAAUUGUGUUUUUGUUCUCCACUUUUAUUAUCCACAUGGAAUUUUCACACUACUUCAUUACCUUCAUGAAAAACCAGGUGUGAUAUUUUAUCGUUCUGGAAAAAGGAUUAGAAUACUUUUAUUUUUUCCAGAAUUUCCAAAACUGGGAAUUGUCCAAAGAUUUGUUAAAGCUGAUAAAUGUCAACAGGCACGCUCUGAGUAGAAAGGAAACGCGGUUUGCCUUACAAUUUUAUCAUCCUGGAAAAAGGAUUCUGGAAAUUGAUGAGUUCUAAUAUACAGCUGGUUUUCAGGUUUAUUUUUACAUGUACCAAAUAGAUCUGCAUUAAUGUUGUUUUGCUUUCACACAAGCAGAUAAGUUUAAUAUAUUUACAUUUCAGAAUGAGCUUCCGAUUUGAAGUUGUGAGUGUUUUAUCGAAUUAUGGAUUCCUACUUUGAAAACAAAAUUAUUUGCUUCUACAAAUGGUUUUUGAAGUAUGGUACAUGUGGUAUUAUGUACUCAAUGAUGCAAUCACCAUUGUGUGCUGCAUAAUCUUAUUAUUUUAUGGAAUCAGUUCGUUCAAUUGUAACCUAUUUUUGUAUUCAAAAUAUAGAUCUUCGCGAAGCCUUUAACUAACGUUAUACUAAAAAAUUCUCAUGGGAGGAAGUUCUUUCAGGAUCUGUUAUCGACCAUCUAUGUUAUGCAGUAAUUGGAUCUGCAGUUUAGUUAGAAACUUUAACUUAGAAAUGUGCUCAGCAUAGAAUUUAUAUAAAAAAAGAUAUUUAAUUGGAAAAAGUUCCUGGUUGAGACGAGAUAAAAAAAAUUGUACUGUUUAGAAGGACGACCUGCAAUUUCAAGAUUCAUUUAUUUCCUUCCACAUUAUAGUAUUUCUAUAUUUAAAAAAAAAUUAAUUGCAUAUCUGGGCUCCCUUCUUUUCUGUGGCCCCGUUUCCCCUUGACUCUGUAAUAAGCCCGUUGGGGGUCAUGGCCCCUACUGUGAUCAGCAGUAAAGGUUGUGAGUGCGCUGUCCGGAAAGGGGACGUGGGGGUCCUCAAGUUCUAUGAUAUCAUUGGAGGGCGAAGAGGCUACCCACAAAUCCGAAUUAACGGUUAAUCGCUCACGUAAAAACUUGUCCGAAUCCUUCUAUCCUCUUCCGGCUUCUCUUAGCCACGCACCGGGUAAUCUCCCCGGUGGUUCAAUUCAGUGAAAUUUGUUGUACAUGUAUACUGUAUCAAGAAUAAAAAUAU